GCCGAAAUAGCUCGUUGGAGAGCGUUAGACUGAAGAUCUAAGGUCCCUGGUUCGAUCCCGGUUUCGGCA
rnacentral:tRNA from 1 species